UACGGAGGGUGCGAGCGUUGUCCGGGAUCAUUGGGCGUAAAGGGCGCGUAGGUGGCCCGGUCAGUUCGUGGUGAAAGCGCGGGGCUCAACCCUGCGUCGGCCAUGAAUACUGCCGCGGCUGGAGCACUGUAGAGGCAGGCGGAAUUCCGGGUGUAGCAGUGAAAUGCGUAGAGAUCAGGAGGAAUACCGAUGGCGAAGGCAGGUCUCUGGGCUGAUACUGACGCUCAUGCACGAAAGCGUGGGGAGCAAACAGG
rnacentral:rRNA from 1 species